CAGUAGCCGCGGUAAUACGAAGGGUGCAAGCGUUAAUCGGAAUUACUGGGCGUAAAGGGUGCGUAGGCGGUCGUUUAAGUCUGUUGUGAAAUCCCCGGGCUCAACCUGGGAAUGGCAAUGGAAACUGGACGGCUAGAGUGUUGUAGAGGGGGGUAGAAUUCCAGGUGGAGCGGUGAAAUGCGUGGAUAUCGGAAGGAACACCGGUGGCGAAAGCGGCGCGCUGGAUCCCUACUGACGCUGAGGCACGAAAGCCAGGGGAGCAAACGGGAUUAGAUACCCCCGUAGUCCCUGUCUCUUAUAC
rnacentral:rRNA from 1 species